rnacentral:rRNA from 1 species
AACGAACGCUGGCGGUAUGCUUAACACAUGCAAGUCGAACGGACUAAUUAAAGCUUGCUUUGAUUAGUUAGUGGCAAACGGGUGAGUAACGCGUGGGAAUCUACCCAUCAGUACGGAAUAACUUUUGGAACAAAAGCUAAUACCGUAUAUUCUCUUCGGAGGAAAGAUUUAUCGCUGAUGGAUGAGCCCGCGUCUGAUUAGGUAGUUGGUAGGGUAAUGGCCUACCAAGCCAACGAUCAGUAGCUGGUCUGAGAGGAUGAUCAGCCACACUGGAACUGAGACACGGUCCAGACUCCUACGGGAGGCAGCAGUGGGGAAUAUUGGACAAUGGGCGAAAGCCUGAUCCAGCAAUGCCGCGUGAGUGAUGAAGGCCUUAGGGUUGUAAAGCUCUUUUACCCGGGAUGAUAAUGACAGUACCGGGAGAAUAAGCCCCGGCUAACUCCGUGCCAGCAGCCGCGGU